AUGGGAAUUGUGGACUUACAUAGGGGAGUCCGCGUUGAUGGGGAUCUUCUCAAGGUCGAUCGAGCCGCACGUUUUCAUCCAAGGCCGCCAUUUUCUUGGGGGCACGCGGCGCUGGCGGAGACCAUUGGGUGGCGGCGCAGGGGAGAAAGCACGAGGAGCGUUGCGGAGGGGAACCGAGCGGCAUUAGUGGUGGCGAUUCUGGAGACCGAUUUCCCCUGCAGCUCACGAGAUCGGGAGGGUGAGGGUGGGAGGCGAGAGAGAAAGAGAGGUGGGCACCCUGGACCUGGAGGCCUCGCUCGUUCCUGCCUACGUGCGGGUCGUGGAGGGUGA
rnacentral:rRNA from 1 species